rnacentral:misc_RNA from 1 species
GGCAACGGUUUCAGAGAGUGGCUUCGGAGAGAGAGAAAGAUUGGCGGACGAGUUUGGGUUACCGAUCAGAACAAUAAUAUAACUACUCGCUAGAAGCGUGGGAAACGUCAAAACGGCCGUGCUAUUGUUCGCCUAAUCGUGCGGUGCGCGAGAGCUUCGCUUCGGCGGCGCGGACAUCCCGAUACGAUUAUGUAGUGCGUCGAACGCAACAUGAAGACGAUAGAGGGAAAAGUAGUAAUGCUGGGUUCACAAGGUGUUGGUAAAACGAGCUUGAUCGGACGUUAUUUGGGAAAUUUCGAUCAAGCAAGUCCCACGAUAGGAGCGUCUUUCUUCAACUGCAAGAUCAAUUUGGAUAAUGCGAGGAUAAAAUUGCAAGUAUGGGACACGGCUGGCCAAGAGAGAUUUCGCUCCAUGGCGCCGAUGUACUACAGGAACUCCAACGCGGCUAUGUUGGUGUUCGAUCUUACACAGUAUAACACCUUCGCCGCGAUCAAGGGUUGGGUGAAGGAGCUACAACAGAAUGUGGAGGAGACGAUGGUGCUAGCCUUGAUCGGCAACAAGUCAGAUCUGGUGCAACAGCGUCAAGUAGACGGUGAGGAGGGUCGGAAGUACGCCACGUCAAUUGGUGCUACAUAUCAUGAGAUUUCGGUGCUACAAAAUGAGGGAGUAGAAACCGUUUUUCUGGCGAUCGCCACGAGUCUACAGAGAAUGGCGUCGGACAAUAAUGAUGUGAACACUACACUCAAGAUUUCCGAUUCUAACAACUUUCUCAAAAACGACGAUAUACUGCCCUCGCCCUCCGUCGAGGAGAGUCCGCAAAAUACCAGUAUUGCACAUGGCAUACACGAAAAGCCAUUUACCUGCUGCUAAUUCUAGUUUAUUUUUAAAAAAGGCGGCAAUAAUUAGAUGAUAGAUCGCGCCUUACUUAGAAAUUUGCGUCAAAUAGAGUUUACUAGCAAAAUGUAACCGGGUUGUGCACUGUAAUUUUACACAAAUCUUUUACAGUGUGGAUUUCAUUAGUGAACUACAAAUUUUUAGAUCAUGACGCGCUUUCGUUUUCGAGAUGCAAAAUACAUGCAUGAAGUGUAAAGUGAACGAACAUCUGCUCUAUCAAGCAGCUUUGGUAUUAGUUCGAUUAGUCUAAUCAAAUUUAUAAUGAUAUUUGAUAUAAUUGAUAACAUUCGCAUUGAUUUAGCGCAAGAUUUAAAUCCACGAUAUCGAUAAUGGAAAUGUACAUACACGAAUCAAAUUUUCCAUAAAUGCCUAAUAAAAGUUGAAGUCUAACUAAAAUUAGACAAGUAAAAAAAUCAUAUUUUUGGCGUAUUUAUGUAUAGAUCUCAUAGGGAGCAAAUAAUGCAGUAUGUUAAUUUAACUUGAAAUGAUUAAAGUUAUGGUGACAAGUCAAGAGAUAUAGCAUUCUUUAAGAAACUCUGAAGAACUGCAAACUAUAUUCUAAAUUUUCCAAUUUAAUUAAGUUUUAAGGUAUAAUUCUACUUUGUAACAUGCGUGAUUUAUAUGUGCAAAAAUUAAUUAAUGCACUCAUAUAUAGCGAUCAUGCAGCUUGCCAUUAGAAAAUUAUUUUUCGCAAAUAGCGAAAUAUAUUCCAAUACAGCUAGUUAUUUUACGAUUAAUAUUGUUUUUAUUAUUAUUCAAUUUUUAUAAUUUUAUACAAAACAACAGUAUUUUCUACAUUGGUGCGUGAAUUAUUUACGAAUAAAAUAGAAUAGACUUAUAUAUUACUAAUAUUUUUCUCGAAGAGACUGCUAAACUUUAAGUUCAAACAUUUCUCAUAUGCAGACGACGAAUUAUUUUCGAUACUUCUGGAGGAAAAAUCAACUUUAUUUCUUGUAUAUAUUAUAAUACUUACGUUCACGCGCUUUCGAAGAUUUCUAAAAGAUUUUUAUAUCCAACAAAAAUAAAUAUAUUUGUAAUAAAAAAA